GGGCGGCCAGUCGACUCGCUCGCGUCGCUACGUUCGCGUGUUACGGCUACGAGCGUAGCGCACAACUACGCCGAAACUACGCUACGAUAAACUAUUACUGUGACUGUGAAAAUUAUCGACUAACUGUGAGUGGUUUGUGCUAUUGUUGACGUGUGCUCACUCGUGGAAAGUAUCUCCAACAAGAUAAGUUGAGUGGCGUCAAACAGUGCUGAACAAAGGGUUGUGGGGUGCAAAGUGAAAUAAUAGUUGGAAUUAGCACUGCGAGUGUGUGCGGUGUGAGGUGUGUUGUGUGAGGUGCGGGGGGCGAUGCGGGGUGCGGGGUAGCAUGCCUGCGCGUGCCACGGCGGCCUGAUGGCGCUAGUGCGCCGGAUACUAGGCGACGCCCAGGCGAAACUCCGCAAGAUGGUGGACGAGCAAGUGUCAGUGGGGUCUCGCGUGGAGGCCGAGCCGGAACCCGAGCCGGCGGACCCGCUGAUCACACCAGCUAGUGCCGCUCUGAGCAUCGACAACGACCGCACACCACGCCUCCUCAUCGGCACACUCGACAAGAGAAACUCCUCGCUCAAUGGCGAUGGAACGUCUACGCUCAACCGAACGAGAUUGCCCAUAAGAAACGGCAAGGAUAAUCCUUUUAUCGACGACGACAAUAAAGAGAAUCAAGCAAACGGCAAGCUAGAGUCUCCAGUGAAAUGGUCGACACAGAAUGGCAGCGACAGUGGUACUUACGCGGAGAUCGGUACCGGGGCCAACAGCAAUACAAGCGAGAGGAACGUUCUAGAUCCUGCUGACAGUUCCGAAGAGGAAGUACCACUGCCUGACGCGACUUCUCCAGGCCGAAGCAGUGAUGGGCCUGAACCACGGGCAGAUAUCACGGCUACUUUAGAUGGAGGAGCUGCAUCCCCGGGAGGUCGGUCAGAUCGGUCGCGAGCUGAUGAGAUCCCCGCGUCACCAGGCAUGCUCUCCGCAGCACAACUGGCCCGCCGACUCAGAGUCGAGAACGAACGACUACAGGCGGAAUUAACAAGAGUACGGAGGUUGCUGGUGGCAGCCGCGGAGCGUGGUGAGGCGGGCAACGCGCUGAUCGAACGCGCAAAGGGAGACGGUGCGCAAGAGUCGGCGCCCGUCGACCCGCAACAGCUCGAGAAGGAACUGCUACUCGCCAGAGAAGCUGUUAACUCUCUGAAAGCGGAUAAGAAAAGAUUGAAAGCGGAGAGGUUCGACUUGCUCAACCAAAUGAAGCAACUGUACGCCACCCUUGAAGAUAAGGAGAAAGAGCUCCGAGACUUCAUCAGAAAUUACGAGCUGAUGCGAUCGAGGGGCGGCGCGUCGUCAGCGCUGGGCGCGGAGCGUGCUGAGCGCGAACGGGAGCGGGCGGCAUUGCUGAGACACGCGCGGGACGAAGCCGAGCGCUCGUUGCAGCUGGCCGCCGCACUCAGCGCCCGCGACACUCAGCUCAGAUAUGCGCGGGAACAACUGUUUGAGGUUCGAAGACAGCUUCAAGCGACUGGCUGCCUAUCUGAAGGUGAGAGCGUGGCGUCGCUAGGGCUCGGCCCUCCGAUGAUGCUUGGGCCAGCGGGGCUCGUCGGCGACCGUGGUAGCUGCAGCGCCGACUCGGGAGUCAGAGGUUCCUGCUUGUCUACACUCUCACCUGACGUGACAGGUAGCAGCGACGGUGGCGCCACCUCGGUCUGCGGUGGGAACCUGUCGGACUCUACGGCUGAAGGGGCUCCUGCCACGGUCGACUCCUACGACACCGACGCUAUCUCGCUCGUCUCCUCGGCGCAUCAUAUCUAUCAGUUGAGCACUCCUCGUGACUGCAGCCCGACCUUGUCUCCACACAACAGCGCGUCGCCAUUCACCAGGUCUAUUGACGCUGGCUCACUAUCCAGAUCGGUGGAACAGCUGUCAAGUCCAGGUGAAUGCGAGUCGGCGCUGCUAGGAGGGCUGCGGUCUCGCGCGGGCGGCAAGGGCGGUCGCGGCCGCGGGUCCGCUUGGGGUUCCAUUUCCCGUGUGUUCGCUCGCAGCAGACACCGCACCAAGUCUGGCAGCGCCACUGCCAGUGGACAUGAGAGCGAACCAGUAUACGCUGGGACAGGCAGCCAGCGAGCUUGGUCACCUCUAGGCAGCGAGGCAGCCCUGCGCGAAGCAGCAUCGUUGCCGCUGGCGAGGUGGCGUGCGCCCGCUAUCAUCGCCUGGUUGGAGCUGGCACUGGGAAUGCCUCAAUACGCUGCAGCCGUCGCUGACAAUGUCAAGAGUGGGAAAAUCCGUGCUUUGAAUGGGCAGGUUCUGCUCGAGCUGACGGACGCGGACUUGGAGGUGGGGUUGGGGAUCUCGCAGCCGAUGCACAGGAAGAAGCUGCGGCUGGCCAUAGAGGAGCGGAGGCGGCCUGACCUGGUCCGCAACCCGGCCAUAGGCCAGCUGACACACGCCUGGGUCGCGGCUGAAUGGCUCUCUGAUCUGGGCUUAGCACAAUAUGCAGAAUCGUUCCUGGCAAACCUGGUGGACGCUCGAAUGCUGGACACAAUCAGCAAGAAAGAGUUGGAGAAAUACUUGGGCGUCACAAGGAAGUUCCACCAGGCGUCGAUCGUGCAUGGGAUACACCUGCUCAGGAUAAUGAAGUAUGAUAGACAAGCUUUAGCCGUCAGACGGCACCAGUGCGAGAAUGUGGACGCAGAUCCGCUGGUGUGGACCAACCAGAGAUUCAUGCGGUGGGCGCACAAUAUCGACUUGGGAGAAUUCGCUGAAAAUCUUAAAGACAGCGGAGUGCACGGAGGUCUAGUAGUUCUAGAACCUUCUUUCACCGGAGAGACGAUGGCAACUGCUCUAGGCAUUCCACCUUCAAAGAGCAUCAUUAGGAGACACUUGGUCGCCGAGUUCGAUGCCCUCAUCAUCCCAGCAAGGAAUAUGUUUGGUCACCAAAUAAGGAUGUUGGGACGACCAUUCUCAAGAUCUGUUGCCACUGGUUUACCAGGAAUCGACUUGAGUGGUGACUCUAGAAGACACAGUUUAAGGGGUUCAAUAACCCGUGCGCUCGGCGUGCUCAAGCCGAAACAUGACAGGACGUCACCAUCAAGCUCUAGCGAGAGUUCCAGCGUCCUGAGUCUCACCACGCAGCCGUACCAGAUGUCCUACUCACCACCCAUUGGCAUGCGGACGCUAUCUCAACUCAGUAUGACCUACGCCCCGCCGCCUACGCUACAGGAAUACGAGCCUAUAUACACGCCACUCAGCCUAUAUUCACAGUCGAGUGUGUCCACUCGAGAUAGUUUGCAACGCCUCAACGAUAUCAAGGAGAACGUGUCUAUCACUCAUAGAUACGGCCAGAAAGCCGACCACGCACACCGAGUGAGCUCCCCUUUACCAGCGAAAUCGGUGGACGAGUCCAUCGUUAAGCAGAAACGACAUCGACGGGUCAAGAGCAUCGGCGACAUCAACGCCUGUAGCAAAACUUCAGUGUAACGCUAACUUAACAAUAUUGUCAAUUACUUCCACCAAUACCGCUCAAACUCGAACCAAUAUGUACAAAGUUGCAUAUCAAGAUAUUUCAACUAACAUUUUUAAUUGGGUGGUUGACUGCUUUUAUAUUGGUUUUAUGUGAAACGUUUUUUAUCAGCCGCAUUAUUUUUAUUACCAGAUGUCGUGACACUGCUGUUAACAAACAUUUAUAUUAACUUUAUUGAAAAAAAACAUAACUUAUAUAUUAAAUAAAUAAAUAAGUAUUAAGAAAGUUCAUAUACCUAGAUGAAAUGCAAAAGCGUAGACAAAUUAACAUCAGUUUUUAUUAUUUAUUCAUAACCGUUAUUCCUGAGUACUCUAUUUGUUAUUCUGUUUGUACCAUAAACUAUUUGAAAUGAGUCAACUACCCGUUUCGACUGAAUAUUUUGCCUUAUAAUACUCACUCCGUAAGGUUGUAAUAGCAUAAUUUAAAGAUUUAUUUUAUAAUCGACACAGUAUUUUUUCCUCUAACACGCUGUAUAUCGCUACACUGUGAUAUGAUCCACGCAACCCAAUGUAAACUGAUGAGCUUCUCAUUUUUAUAAUUAAAAAAAUAUUAGUCAAUUUAUACGAAAAUCUAGAACAUUAUUAAUAAUUAUUAACGUGUAUUCAUUCCAUCGAGCUUAACAUUUAUUUACUUAUCAAUUAUUUGUUUUUGUAUUAUUCUGUUAUUAUUAUUUUAAUAAAUUGUUUACACAUUUUAAAUUAAAAAUUUGUUCUUUUUUCGAUUUUAAGUUUAAUUAUCGUGAUAUUAUGUUUGUGAUACAUUUGA
rnacentral:misc_RNA from 1 species